GAUUAAGUUAUUAAGGGCGCACGGUGGAUGCCUUGGCACUAGAAGCCGAUGAAGGACGUUACUAACGACGAUAUGCUUUGGGGAGCUGUAAGUAAGCUUUGAU
rnacentral:rRNA from 1 species